rnacentral:rRNA from 1 species
CCUACGGGAGGCAGCAGUGGGGAAUUUUGGACAAUGGGGGAAAGCCUGAUCCAGCGACGCCGCGUGAGUGAAGAAGUAUUUCGGUACGUAAAGCUCUAUCAGCAGGGAAGAAAAUGACGGUACCUAACUAAGAAUCCCCUGCUAACUACGUGCCAGCAGCCGCGGUAAUACGUAGGGGGCAAGCGUUCUCCGGAUUUACGGGGGGGAACGGGAUCGUAGACUGUAGAGUAAGUCUGGAGUGAAAUGCCCGGGCUCAACCCGGGAACUGCUCUGGAAACUGUGAAGCUGGAGUGCAGGAGAGGUGGGUGGAAUUCCUGGUGUAGCGGUGAAAUGCGUAGAGAUCAGGAGGAACACCGGUGGCGAAGGCGGCUUACUGGACUGUAACUGACGUUGAGGCUCGAAGGCGUGGGGAGCAAACAGGAUUAGAUACCCGGGUAGUC